ACAUUGUCAACUCCAACAAGAAAUCUUGUCGGGUUAUACAAGAAAAGAAAAAUCGCUUUUUUAAAUCUGUGCAUCCAAGAAAAGGAUUUAUUUUUUCAAGAAUUCAGUUGAAAAAUUUAAGACUUUUGCAUGUUGCACUUUGAAAGAGUUGCACACAGUGCUUUUGGCUGUCAAAUGUAUUUAAAAAAGAAAUGAAAAAUUCAAGAGAAUGUUCUUUAUCUGUUAAACCUUGUCAUGUUUUUUUUUUUAAAUGGAGAUUUAUGGUCUUGGUCUUAUCUUAGUCUCGGUCUUGUUCUUGACUCUGUCCCGACCCCCAAAUAUCUUGGUCUGGUCUUGGUCUCUGUGAGUUUUGGUCUCGGGCAAGUCUUGGUCUCGGUUAGUGUGGUCUUGCGCACAACACCAUCCCUAAUAUCUUCCCCUUUAAAAGUGAAAAUGUAAUGUCUCUUGGAUUUUGUGUUGUGGUGGCAGCAAACAGCUCAUCUGACGUCCUGACACAUUUUCAACGACGCUCCAUCAGGGUGACAGUGAUGGACCUCUCCAACCGUCAGGAACUUCAAACUGACGCACUGCAGGAUAGAACGGCCUGUGGCUGGAUGGAGAUGGAGGAGGUGGACAAGCGCCUCACUCUGGAGAUUCGGGAGGAUUAAUCGGCGAGUCCCUCCCCGCUGACAACGCACAAACUGCAGCGGCACAAUUGACUCGUAACGCGGGAGACUUCAUCGGCGAACGAUCGGAAGAAGAUCAUGCUCAAGAAGCAUUGACUUUAUCAUCCAUCCAUUUUCUGCAGCGCUUAUCGCGGGUGUGCUGGGGCCAAUCCCAGCUGACGUCCGGCGAGAGGCGGGGUACACACUUGACUGGUCGUCAGCCAAUCACAAGGCACGGACUGUAUAGACAAACGUGGACUAACAACCAUUCAACAACAACAGUGCAAUUGUCGUUUUAUGAGAAUAAAGGUAUUUUCGGGAAGAAAAAGGAAAAGGAAAUAUAUUUUUUAAAUAUUUUCUCGCAAAAUAGACAUUUUUAAAAAAGAAACAUCAUUUAUUCAAUCGUAAUUUUAUGAGAAAAGUAUUUUAUUUAUUUUUUUUUUUUUACAGAAAGAAAUGUCAACGUGUGUAUUUUUUUUUAAAUAUUACGAGAAUAAGA